GCCGCUGCGCCGGCGCGCCAUCCCCGGGCCCGCGUGCGUCCCCACGAGGACAGGGACCCCGCCGCCUCUCCGCCCCGCUUCCUGCUCCCUUCCCGCCCUCCGGCGAGGGGCCCAGGAGGAGGCCGAGCCCGCGCUCGCCCCCGGCCCCGCCACCGUCCCGCCGCUUUGCGCGCCAUGGACGCCCCGGAGCAGCAGCCCGACCCCGACGGCGGGGACGCCCCAGGCCACGAGCCCGGGGGCAGCCCCCAAGACGAGUUUGACUUCUCCAUCCUCUUCGACUAUGAGUAUUUGAAUCCAAUCGAAGAAGAACCGAAUGCACAUAAGGUCGCCAGCCCACCCUCCGGACUCGCAUACCCCGAUGAAGUCCUGGACUAUGGCCUCAAGCCAUACAGCCCCCUCCCCAGUCUCCCUGGCGAACCCCCCGGCCGAUUCGGAGAGCCGGAUAGGGUAGGGCCGCAGAACUUUCUGAGCCCGGCGGCCAAGCCAGCGGGGGCCUCGGGCCUGAGCCCUCGGAUCGAGAUCACUCCAUCUCACGAACUGAUGCAGGCAGGGGGUCCCCUCCGCGGGAGAGACACUGGCCUGCUGGGGGAGCAGCCGCCCCUGGCCGGCGUGGCCGCCAGCCCGCGGUUCACCCUGCCUGUGCCCGGCUUCGAGGGCUACCGCGAGCCGCUUUGCUUGAGCCCCGCUAGCAGCGGCUCCUCUGCCAGCUUCAUUUCCGACACCUUCUCCCCCUACACCUCGCCCUGCGUCUCGCCCAAUAACGGCGGGCCCGACGACCUGUGUCCGCAGUUUCAAAACAUCCCUGCUCAUUAUUCCCCCAGAACCUCGCCAAUAAUGUCACCUCGAACCAGCCUCGCUGAAGACAGCUGCCUGGGCCGCCACUCGCCCGUGCCCCGUCCGGCCUCCCGCUCCUCGUCGCCUGGUGCCAAGCGGAGGCAUUCGUGUGCUGGGGCCUUGGUUGCCCCGCUGCCCGGAGCCUCACCCCAGCGCUCCCGGAGCCCCUCGCCGCAGCCCCGGGACGACGGCGCUCCCGCUGGGUACCCCCCCACGGCUGGCUCUGCCGUCCUCAUGGAUGCCCUGAACAGCCUCGCCGCGGAUUCGCCUUGUGGCAUCCCCCCCAAGAUGUGGAAGACGAGCCCCGACCCAUCGCCGGUGUCCGCCGCCCCGCCCAAAGCCGGCCUGCCCCGCCACAUCUACCCGGCCGUGGAGUUCCUGGGGCCCUGCGAGCAGGAGGAGGGGAGGAGCUCGGCCCCUGAGUCCAUCUUGCUGGUGCCGCCCACCUGGCCCAAGCAGCUGGUGCCUGCGAUUCCCAUCUGCAGCAUCCCAGUGACCGCAUCCCUCCCUCCUCUGGAGUGGCCGCUCUCCCACCAGUCGGGGUCCUAUGAGCUGCGGAUCGAGGUGCAGCCCAAGCCACAUCACCGGGCCCACUAUGAGACGGAAGGCAGUCGAGGGGCUGUCAAAGCUCCAACUGGUGGCCACCCUGUCGUUCAGCUCCAUGGCUACAUGGAAAACAAGCCCCUGGGGCUUCAGAUCUUCAUUGGGACAGCUGAUGAGCGGAUCCUCAAGCCCCAUGCCUUCUACCAGGUGCACCGGAUCACGGGCAAAACCGUCACCACCACCAGCUACGAGAAAAUCGUGGGCAACACCAAAGUCCUGGAGAUCCCUCUAGAGCCAAAAAACAACAUGAGGGCGACCAUCGAUUGCGCGGGGAUCCUGAAGCUUCGGAACGCCGACAUCGAGCUGCGGAAAGGGGAGACGGACAUCGGCCGGAAGAACACGCGGGUGCGGCUGGUGUUCCGAGUGCACAUUCCAGAGUCCAGUGGGAGGAUCGUCUCCCUGCAGACUGCGUCGAACCCCAUCGAGUGCUCCCAGCGGUCGGCCCACGAGCUGCCCAUGGUGGAGAGACAAGACAUCGACAGCUGCCUGGUUUACGGGGGUCAGCAGAUGAUUCUCACCGGACAGAACUUCACGGCCGAGUCCAAAGUCGUGUUCACUGAGAAGACCACAGAUGGGCAGCAAAUUUGGGAGAUGGAAGCUACGGUGGAUAAAGACAAGAGCCAGCCCAACAUGCUUUUUGUUGAGAUCCCUGAGUAUCGAAACAAGCACAUCCGUGCGUCGGUGAAGGUGAACUUCUAUGUCAUCAAUGGGAAGAGAAAACGAAGUCAGCCGCAGCACUUUACCUACCACCCAGUCCCAGCCAUCAAGACGGAGCCCACAGAUGAAUAUGACCCCACGUUGAUCUGCAGCCCUGCCCACGGGGGCCUGGGGAGCCAGCCCUACUACCCGCAGCACCCGAUGGUGGCCGAAUCCCCCUCCUGCCUCGUGGCCACCAUGGCGCCCUGCCAGCAGUUCCGCUCGGGGCUCUCGUCCCCCGACGCCCGCUACCAGCAGCAGAACCCGGCGGCCGUCCUCUACCAGCGGAGCAAGAGCCUGAGCCCCAGCCUGCUGGGCUACCAGCAGCCGGCCCUCAUGGCCGCCCCGCUGUCCCUGGCUGAGGCCCACCGCUCUGUGCUGGUGCACACCGGCCCCCAGGGCCAGAGCUCCGGCCUGCUGCACUCCUCCCCGGCCAACCAGCAGGCCUCGCCGGUGAUCCACUACUCGCCCACCCACCAGCCCCCGCGCUGCGGCAGCCACCAGGAAUUCCAGCACAUCAUGUACUGCGAGAACUUCGCGCCCGGCCCCGCCAGGCCCGGCCCGCCGCCCGCCGUCAGUCAAGGGCAGAGGCUGAGCCCGGGGUCCUACCCCACGGUCAUUCAGCAGCAGAAUGCCACCAGCCAAAGAGCCGCCAAAAACGGACCCCCAGUCAGUGACCAAAAGGAAGUAUUACCCGCAGGAGUGACGAUUAAACAGGAGCAGAACUUGGACCAGACCUACUUGGAUGAUGUUAAUGAAAUUAUCAGGAAGGAGUUUUCAGGACCUCCCGCCAGAAAUCAGACAUAGAAGAUGCCAUUAGCAAGACACCUUCCGUAUCUGACCCCUUGGAGCCUUCCACUGCCCUCACCUUCUGUUUCCUUUCCUGUACAUCUCCUGGCCUGGAGGCCACGCGCGGGACAAGGUCCUGGCAGAAAGCUGACUCUCGAUUAAGGAGCUCGCCACCUCUCUGUGUAAACACCAGAGAGAACACUCUGCCUUUUGAUUUUUGUUUUAAAUCCCAGAGAGCAUCUCGGUUGACUUUCCUGGUGUCCCAUCCAAAAACUUUAAAGUGCCUGCUGACCAAACACACAAGACAGCAAGCUGCAUCGGCCCUGAGAACGGAGUGACCGGAGCGUGGGGCGUGGGCUGGGCUGGGGGAUGGAAGAUGUGGGCCCCUGUGAUUAAACCCCAGCCCUGCGUUCAUUUUUCCAGGUCACAGAUACAGCUCCUGUACUUUUUGAAGGAAAGGAGUUUUCAAACAGAGCCACCCAAGGAACGUGACCCGAGUGAGCCUGGCUUCCAGGCUGAAGAAAAAACCAGAAGCCGGACCGUCCUCCUUAGGGACCACCUAGUCCCGGCCACAGCUGGGCCACCGCUCAAGCCUUAUUUUUCAGUUUUCUCAUUCUGAAGCAAGACUGUGUGCCCCACACAAGAUGACCGGUUAAAACUCAGCGUUAAGUUAUGACAUGUGUCCACGUUUGUUAUUUUUGUCUCUGCUUCAAAAAGCCGGCCCAAGGUGGCCAGAGGGGGAAGUUCUCGGGCCCGCUGCUCUUCACCCCUGCAGGGAGCAGUGGGCCUGGAGCAGGGACCCCAGGCUGCGGCGUGAGCACCCGGCCUCUGCAGCCCUGAACCCAAGGGCUUUCUGCUAGUCUCGCUUGCUUCCUUCCUAGCGGCCAAAGCGCUUUUCCAUUAACUCGGGAAGAAAAAUCUCAAGCAAGUGCAUUGAAUUUUGAGAAGGAAUCACAGAAGAGCUACAGGAACCAAAGGAGCCAAGACGUCGGUCUCAGGAAGCCAGCCUUGGCCAGUGCGGGAGCGGUCACAUUUAGACAGAUUGGAAGCUCAUGGGUUCUAGUUGUCACUCUGAACUAAAGGGAGGGCAGAAUGUGUUUAUUUUCACGUCAAACACUUUCCAAGUGCUUUCUAUUGUUCAGAAUUGAAAGUGUCAGAAGUCCAGUCAACAGUUGCGUCCGCGUUUACAAGAGGCGGGGGGUUGUGACAUUCUUGACGAGCUGGGGUAAACUUUCCUGCACUCAUUUUUUGGAGGGGUAACCCUUUAGCAGGUGCCCAGCACAUCCUAACCUCCCUCAGAGAUGGUCCCUAAGCAAAGCCCCUCUAAACAGGAGACGGGGUGCUGGAAAAAACCUUGAACACUCGGCCUCAAUGCAUCGGUUAGCGGACCAAACCCCUGCCUGCUCCUGGGUCUGGAUGGGUUUCCAGGAGGCAGGUGCUUCCAGCAUGGAGGCUGGCGUAAGCAGACAGGGGCCAUGGUUAGGACAAGCUUAACAUCCUGAGCGUCUUGUCAAAGAACCUUCCUUACGCCCGCUGCCUCUGCAGCCCUCAGAGGGGAGAAAAUGUGGACAUUGCCACAGCUGUUCUCCAGCAAACAGAAUUCUCUCCCGCGGGGGGGUGCUGGGAGGCUUAGGUUUUUAAAAUCUUGACUGUUAAAGAAGUUUGAAUACAUCACAUUCCUAUGCAAAACGUUUUUAAUCUCCAGUUUAAUGUAGUUUAUUUUUGCUAUAUGUAAAGUAUUUUUAUACGGCUUGUAUCAUCAUAGUUUAGCAAUAAAACAGUUGAAAGCAA